rnacentral:lncRNA from 1 species
AUUGAGACUCAUUCUGUAGGGACAACAGAGAACUGAUUUGGAUCACCUGGCUCAAGUAGGUGGGACCAUCUAGUUGCAGGAAAACCAGGUCAGGCCUCCCACUGAUUCUACAUCAUGGUAUAAUGGAAACUACAGGGCUAUCUUUCUCCAGAUACUUUGUUGUUAUGAAUCUCCUCCAGAUGACAAUAUCAAGUUCAGAACAAUUCAUAGUGAAUAGCUUAUAGAGGCCAAUCUUGGCUCCACUGGGUGGAAAAGUUGAGCUCAGUUGCCAGCUGUCUCCACCACAAAGCGCAGAACACAUGGAAAUACGCUGGUUCCAGAGUCACUACACACGACCUGUUUACCUGUAUAAGGAUGGUAAAGACCUGUAUGGAGAAACUAUCUCCAAGUAUGUGGAGCGGACAGAGCUCCUGAAAGAAGCCAUUGGAGAAGGUAAAGUGACCCUCAGGAUCCUUAAUGUCAGUGCUGAUGAUGACGGGCAGUACCACUGCUUCUUCAAAGACAGAAAUGUCUAUGAAGAGUCCAUCACAGAAGUGAAGGUCACAGCUACAAGUUUAGAAAUACAAAUUCUUAUUCAUCCUCCGAAUAGCAAAGGUCUUUUAGUGGAGUGUAAUUCAGAAGGUUGGUUACCACAGCCUCAAAUGGAAUGGAGAGAGAGCAGAGGAGAGAUCAUUCCGCCUGCAUCAAAAUCCCAUUCCCAGGAUAGAAACAGAUUGUUCACCAUGAAGAUGAGCCUUCUCCUUAGAGAC